rnacentral:rRNA from 1 species
AUACGGAAGGUGCGAGCGUUAAUCGGAAUUACUGGGCGUAAAGCGCGCGUAGGCGGCUUGGUAAGUCGGAUGUGAAAGCCCCGGGCUCAACCUGGGAACUGCAUUCGAUACUGCCGGGCUGGAGUACGAAAGAGGGGGGUGGAAUUCCAGGUGUAGCGGUGAAAUGCGUAGAGAUCUGGAGGAACACCGGUGGCGAAGGCGGCCCCCUGGUUCGAUACUGACGCUGAGGUGCGAAAGCGUGGGGAGC